rnacentral:lncRNA from 1 species
GGGACCGAGGGGAGAAUAGGGGAGAGCGAGGGACGACGGGGAGGCGGCGCCACCCUCAGCCGAGCAGAGAGGGAGAGAGAGAGAGAGGCUGAAUGUUGUGUGUGUGUUUGGUGUUUGUGUGUGUGGUGAUAUUUUGUAUGUAUGGAGAAUUAGGGUUAGGCAAUGGGCUCAAGCCCUUUCUUUUGCUUGGGCUGAUUUUUUUUUUUUUUAAGAGACGAUAGGCCUAUUUUGUUUAAUAAAUGGUGAUGGGCCUGAUUUAAAUAAAUGAGCUCAUUUUUUUUAAUUGCUUGGGCCCGUAUUUUAAUUAUAAGGCUGCGAAUUUUUGGCCUUAUUUUCUUAAAAUAGUUUGAAUUUUCAUUAAAUUAUUUAGUGGUUUUAAAUCUCUUGUUACAUUUUAAAUAUUGGAUGUUGGGAAUAUUUUU